UUCCAGACAGCCAAUACGACUGUAACCAGCCAUGAAGUUCACAGUACUAGGUCUAAUAUAUGGUCCGGAGAAUACAUCUCAUGUCCAUUACCUUAGUUUAGUGUGAAUACUAGCAAGAGUACUCUACAGCAGUGGGGUAAAAAGAGAUAGAAUCUAGACCAGCGUUCAGACAGGUUUAAAUGUGUUACUACUCCCUGUAAUUCAGAGUCUAGACCAGCGUUCAGACAGGUUUAAAUGUGUUACUACUCCCUGUAAUUCAGACAGGUUUUCAGACAGGUGUAAUGUGUUACUACUCCCUGUAAUUCAGAGUCUAGACCAGCAUUCAGACAGGUUUUCAGACAGGUUUUCAGACAGGUUUAAAUGUGUUACUACUCCCUGUAAUUCAGAGUCUAGACCAGCGUUCAGACAGGUGUAAAUGUGUUACUACUCCCUGUAAUUCAGAGUCUAGACCAGCAUUCAGACAGGUUUUCAGACAGGUUUUCAGACAGGUUUAAAUGUGUUACUACUCCCUGUAAUUCAGAGUCUAGACCAGCGUUCAGACAGGUGUAAAUGUGUUACUACUCCCUGUAAUUCAGAGUCUAGACCAGCGUUCAGACAGGUGUAAAUGUGUUACUACUCCCUGUAAUUCAGAAUCUAGACCAGCGUUCAGACAGGUUUAAAUGUGUUACUACUCCCUGUAAUUCAGAGUCUAGACCAGCGUUCAGACAGGUUUAAAUGUGUUACUACUCCCUGUAAUUCAGAGUCUAGACCAGCGUUCAGACAGGUGUAAAUGUGUUACUACUCCCUGUAAUUCAGAGUCUAGACCAGCGUUCAGACAGGUGUAAAUGUGUUACUACUCCCUGUAAUUCAGAGUCUAGACCAGCAUUCAGACAGGUUUUCAGACAGGUUUUCAGACAGGUUUAAAUGUGUUACUACUCCCUGUAAUUCAGAGUCUAGACCAGCGUUCAGACAGGUGUAAAUGUGUUACUACUCCCUGUAAUUCAGAGUCUAGACCAGCGUUCAGACAGGUGUAAAUGUGUUACUACUCCCUGUAAUUCAGAGUCUAGACCAGCAUUCAGACAGGUUUUCAGACAGGUGUAAAUGUGUUACUACUCCCUGUAAUUCAGAGUCUAGACCAGCGUUCAGACAGGUUUUCAGACAGGUGUAAAUGUGUUACUACUCCCUGUAAUUCAGAGUCUAGACCAGCAUUCAGACAGGUUUUCAGACAGGUUUUCAGACAGGUGUAAAUGUGUUACUACUCCCUGUAAUUCAGAGUCUAGACCAGCGUUCAGACAGGUGUAAAUGUGUUACUACUCCCUGUAAUUCAGAGUCUAGACCAGCGUUCAGACAGGUGUAAAUGUGUUACUACUCCCUGUAAUUCAGAGUCUAGACCAGCGUUCAGACAGGUGUAAAUGUGUUACUACUCCCUGUAAUUCAGAGUCUAGACCAGCGUUCAGACAGGUGUAAAUGUGUUACUACUCCCUGUAAUUCAGAGUCUAGACCAGCGUUCAGACAGGUGUAAAUGUGUUACUACUCCCUGUAAUUCAGAGUCUAGACCAGCGUUCAGACAGGUUUAAAUGUGUUACUACUCCCUGUAAUUCAGAGUCUAGACCAGCGUUCAGACAGGUGUAAAUGUGUUACUACUCCCUGUAAUUCAGAGUCUAGACCAGCAUUCAGACAGGUGUAAAUGUGUUACUACUCCCUGUAAUUCAGAGUCUAGACCAGCGUUCAGACAGGUGUGAAUGUGUUACUACUCCCUGUAAUUCAGAGUCUAGACCAGCAUUCAGACAGGUGUAAAUGUGUUACUACUCCCUGUAAUUCAGAGUCUAGACCAGCAUUCAGACAGGUUUUCAGACAGGUUUUCAGACAGGUGUAAAUAUGUUACUACUUCCUGUCAUUCAGAAUCUAGAACUUCCUGCUUCUUUGGAAACGUAAUUUCAGUAUACACAUUUUUGGAAUUAGGCCUACUUUAAUUCAG